CACUGACCCUUCACCUUGCUUCCUUGAACCUCUGGCAAAGAUAUCUCCACUGCGACAGAGAUGGGUAUUUUUUAUAUACACCCGUAUAUACUUAUACCCCUCUCUGUCUCAGUGGAGAUAUCUUUGCCAGAGGCUCAAGAAAGCAAGGUGAAGGGUCAGUGU